GCUACACGGCGACGUGAGGCUAAUCCCUAAAUACCUCUCUCAGUUCGGAUUGGAGUCUGCAACCCGACUCCAUGAAGCUGGAUUCGCUAGUAAUCGCGCAUCAGCCACGGCGCGGUGAAUACGUUCCCGGGCCUUGUACACACCGCCCGUCAAGCCAUGGAAGCCGGGAGUGCCUGAAGUGCGUGAGCGUAAGCAGCGCCCUAAGGUAAAACCGGUGACUGGGGCUAAGUCGUAACAAGGUAGC
rnacentral:rRNA from 1 species